rnacentral:rRNA from 1 species
AGUAAUGCUUGGGAAUCUAGCUUAUGGAGGGGGAUAACUACGGGAAACUGUAGCUAAUACCGCGUAGAAUCGAGAGAUGAAAGUGUGGGACCUUCGGGCCACAUGCCAUAGGAUGAGCCCAAGUGGGAUUAGGUAGUUGGUGAGGUAAAGGCUCACCAAGCCGACGAUCUCUAGCUGGUCUGAGAGGAUGGCCAGCCACACUGGGACUGAGACACGGCCCAG